rnacentral:rRNA from 1 species
UACAGAGGUCUCAAGCGUUGUUCGGAAUCACUGGGCGUAAAGGGUGCGUAGGUGGGUUGGUAAGUCAGUGGUGAAAUCUCCAGGCUUAACUUGGAAACUGCCAUUGAUACUAUCAAUCUUGAAUGCCGUGGAGGUCAGCGGAAUAUGUCAUGUAGCGGUGAAAUGCUUAGAUAUGACAUAGAACACCAAUUGCGAAGGCAGCUGGCUACACGAAUAUUGACACUGAUGCACGAAAGCGUGGGGAUCAAACAGG